rnacentral:rRNA from 1 species
GAUCAUGGCUCAGGAUGAACGCUAGCUACAGGCUUAACACAUGCAAGUCGAGGGGAAACGACAUCGAAAGCUUGCUUUUGAUGGGCGUCGACCGGCGCACGGGUGAGUAACGCGUAUCCAACCUGCCCAUCACUUGGGAAUAACCUUGCGAAAGUAAGACUAAUACCCAAUGAUAUCCCACGAAGGCAUCCGAAUGGGAUUAAAGAUUUAUCGGUGAUGGAUGGGGAUGCGUCUGAUUAGCUUGUUGGCGGGGUAACGGCCCACCAAGGCUACGAUCAGUAGGGGUUCUGAGAGGAAGGUCCCCCACAUUGGAACUGAGACACGGUCCAAACUCCUACGGGAGGCAGCAGUGAGGAAUAUUGGUCAAUGGGCGAGAGCCUGAACCAGCCAAGUAGCGUGCAGGACGACGGCCCUAUGGGUUGUAAACUGCUUUUAUAAGGGAAUAAAGUGAGUCUCGUGAGACUUUUGCAUGUACCUUAUGAAUAAGGACCGGCUAAUUCCGUG